rnacentral:rRNA from 1 species
CAAUAGCGUAUAUUAAAGUUGUUGCAGUUAAAAAGCUCGUAGUUGGACUUCUGCGGGUGGCGGCCGGUCGUGCUCGAAACGGGCGUGAACUUGGCGUGCUGCCCGCAUCUUUGGGGAGAUUGCGCGUGGCAUUAAGUUGUCGUGCAUGGGAUUCUCAUCAUUUACUGUGAAAAAAUUAGAGUGUUUAAAGCAGGCCUUUGCCUUGAAUACAUUAGCAUGGAAUAAUAAGAUAGGACCGUUGUCUAUUUUGUUGGUUUACAGAUGUCGGUAAUGAUUAAUAGGGAUAGUUGGGGGUAUUCGUAUUCAGUUGUCAGAGGUGAAAUUCUUGGAUUUUCGGAAGACGCACGACUGCGAAAGCAUUUACCAAGGAUGUUUUCAUUAA